UUCUUACUCUCUCUCUCUCUCUCUCUCUCUCUCUCUCUCUCUCCAAUUACAAAAGUCAAACCCUUUUUCUCUCCAUUUCCUCUCAAAAUUCCGUGCUCCCUAUCUCUCUAAGGAAAGUAAAAGACUCCAUGGAAGCUCCUAGGCUUAUCUUGAAGAGACAAGUCACAAAAGAGAAUCUAGGAGUGUUACAUGCAAGAUCCAAGAGCUUCUAUGGCAUAUUUGGAGCUUUGACGUUAACAGGAGGUAUUGGGGAGAGGUUAGAAUUUGGAAAGCAUUUGGGAAGUUUAGAGUCAAACCCUAGAAGCCAAACUUAAAGGUUGAAUACAAAGGUAAGCAAAAAUGCAAGACGGAUCAUUGAGCGCUAGAGUAUGUCAUGCGAAAUGUACAUGUUUCCCGAUUGUGGAGGUCGCUACACUUUUGUCAAGUUUUAAGUUGUAUAAAAACUUUAUGUCGUUUAUGUUUAUGUUGUUUUAAAGUUUCAAAUACUGUAAUUUUAUUUUAAGUAUGUGCAUGCUUCUAAACUAAAUAAGUAUUUAAAAGUUUUUUUAUACGGGUUUUUUGGUUUUUUAAUUAAACGAAAGUAAGAUGUUUUCCACAAA